UACGAAGGGUGCAAGCGUUACUCGGAAUUACUGGGCGUAAAGCGUGCGUAGGUGGUUUGUUAAGUCUGUUGUGAAAGCCCCGGGCUCAACCUGGGAAUGGCAAUGGAAACUGGCGGGCUGGAGUAUGGCAGAGGGGGGUGGAAUUCCGCGUGUAGCAGUGAAAUGCGUAGAGAUGCGGAGGAACACCGAUGGCGAAGGCAGCCCCCUGGGCCAAUACUGACGCUCAGGCACGAAAGCGUGGGGAGCAAACAGG
rnacentral:rRNA from 1 species